UUGGCUGGGCGCAGCCUGAUCAGCAUGCCGCGUGAGUGAAGAAGGCCUUCGGGUUGUAAAGCUCUUUCAGUUGAGAAGAAAAGAUUGUAACUAAUAAUUGCAAUCCAUGACGGUAUCGACAGAAGAAGCACCGGCUAACUACGUGCCAGCAGCCGCGGUAAU
rnacentral:rRNA from 1 species